rnacentral:rRNA from 1 species
GAUGAACGCUGGCGGCGUGCCUAAUACAUGCAAGUUGAGCGAACGGACGAGAAGCUUGCUUCUCUGAUGUUAGCGGCGGACGGGUGAGUAACACGUGGAUAACCUACCUAUAAGACUGGGAUAACUUCGGGAAACCGGAGCUAAUACCGGAUAAUAUUUUGAACCGCAUGGUUCAAAAGUGAAAGACGGUCUUGCUGUCACUUAUAGAUGGAUCCGCGCUGCAUUAGCUAGUUGGUAAGGUAACGGCUUACCAAGGCAACGAUGCAUAGCCGACCUGAGAGGGGGAUCGGCCACCCGGGAACUGAGACCCGGUCCGGACCCCUACGGGAGGCAGCAGGAGGGAAUCUUCCGCAAGGGGCGAAAGCCUGACGGAGCAACGCCGGGUGGGUGAGGAAGGUCUUCGGUUCGUAAAACUCUUUUUUUAGGGAAAAACAUAGGUUUAAGUAACGGUGCCCAUCUGGACGGAACCUAAGAAGAAAGCCCCGGCAAACUACGG